rnacentral:rRNA from 2 species
UACGAAGGGGGCGAGCGUUAUUCGGAAUCACUGGGCGUAAAGCGUGCGUAGGCGGUCCUAAAAGUUAGGAGUGAAAGCCCAGGGCUUAACCCUGGAAUUGCUCUUAAAACUAUAGGACUAGAAUUCGGGAGAGGAUAGCGGAAUUGUCAGUGUAGCAGUGAAAUGCGUAGAUAUUGACAGGAACACCAGUGGCGUAAGCGGCUAUCUGGACCGACAUUGACGCUGAGGCACGAAAGCGUGGGGAUCAAACAGG